CAGUGGGUCGUCCUUUUAAAAACCCCGCGUGCUUGUCUCUGGCAGGUGUCCUCUGACGUGGGUGUCGCUCUGGCCUCCGGUCUAGGGCUGUCUGUGAUGCAGGUACCCAGCGGCUGCCUUGGGGUACGGUGCUGAGUCACACGGCACAUGUAGUGUGCAGGGGGCGCGUGGGGCCUGCAGGAGCAGACGUGGAGCCCACGUUGACAAGGUCGAGGGCGGGUUGGGGUGUAACGUCGGCCAGGGCAGCAGAGGUGAGGAAGGCAGGAGGCAUAGAGCGGAGUUGAUUUUCCUGCUGCAGGGCUGCCCACCGCUCCCCUCCGCAGGCGGGUGUGUGUAUGCACACAGGAGCACAGUGUGCACGGCGGCCCAGGUAGGCAGGCAGCCUCACUCCUCUCUGCCAUGUCUGCUACCAAAGGAAGCAUGUUAGAAGCAAAUAAUUUGCGAGAAUUUCAUUUCAGGAAAAGGCAAAACAGACUGGAUCUGCUACUUAAGACCCGUGUGAAAGAAAGGUAUUUUUUUUUUUUUUUUUUUUAAUUAUUACUCAUUUUGAGAGAGCAUGCAUACAAGUGAGAGGGGCAGGGAGAGAAGGAGAGGGAAUCCCAAGCAGACUCCGCACUGGGUGCCAAGGCCAGUGAGGGGCUCAGUCUCAAAACCCUGAGAUCACGACCCAAGCUCAAACCCAAGAGUCAGAUGCUUAACUGACUGAGCCACCCCAGCACCCCAUGAAAGGUAUUUUUCAUUAUGAACGUGACGUCAGGCUGUAUAGUGGUUAAGAUCAUUGUUGCCUGGCCGUUGCCCGGGGCACUUCAUGAUCACGUGUACUACUCUAGAACUUCUGGGCCUUCCUUGGUACAGUGAGGGCUCUCUAGUUCUCGGGAUGGAACCCAAACAUUCACCGGGUGAAAGGAACAUAGGCACCAGAGAGAAAAGUCUGUCUUCGUGUUGGUGCUCUUGCAAUUUUAAUAAAUGACAGAUGUUUUCUGUAAAUCUGUAGAUUACUUAGCACAGAGUGUGGCCCCAAAGGUCACGCUAGCAAAACGUGAAACUGGACCCUAACAGUUGCUCCGUCUGGCCCAGUGCUCGCCGCCCUCAGCUACACUUAGAAAGCUGUCGGGCGCUGGGGCAGAGUGCCGUCGUGGGCGUGUGGGGCUGUCUGUGGGAGGCAGGAGUGCAGGACUCGCGGUGCAGCUGACCUGAGGUCCUUCUGGGAAGUCCUGGGUGCCCCCCUUUCUCACAAGCGGCAGAGCCUGCACUGGGGAGAAGACCCUGCGCAUCCCCGGUCAGCUGUGUCCUGGUCUUCAUGUCACAGUGCCGGGUGCUGAUGCGCUGCUCAUGGCCUCCGGCCGGGGGCAGGGGCGGGCUCUGGCUUACCCAGAGGCCCCAUCUCAGAAAGGCUGCUCUCCCUGAAAUUCUCUUUUGUGUUGAGAGCCGCCCUUGAGCCUCGAGCAGAAGUGACCACUAGCCCCCUUGUCCUAGAGACACUGUGACCGUAACUCCGGGUUUUCUGACUCUGUGUGAACUCUCCACGUGUCGUGAAGCUUCUCUCGAGACAACGUCUGUUUUUGAAGGUUUUCCAGCCAACACCAUUUUUAAGCUCUUGUACUCAGAGAAACCAAAACAGAAAAUAACGUGCUUGUUCAUACUCCCUUAAUUAUUACAAAUGAGGCCUUCUGCCAUCGGAGCUGACCAUGGUUGCUCUGUUCCUAGGAGGGGGCAGCACUUUCCCGUGUUUUAAGAAGACUGGAACGAGCGGGAUUUGGAGUAGGAGGUUGGUGUGCGCGUCUCAGCAGUUCUGAAUGAAGGAGCAGAGACCAGCUGCUCAGAAUUCAGAAUCUCCUUGUGAGUGGUCUUCGCACAGAUGCACGGUCUCCCCAUAGAGCAUCCGGUCCAGGAGGCAUCCGUACACGUGUGCCUUUGCUGCAUCAUGGGGAAGGUGUGGUGGUUGGGGGUCAUGGCUGUUUCCAGUGUCACCAGCAGUAUUUGCCUCCUGAGACCCCGUGUAGGAAGGUCACCUUCACGGACCGCCCCUUUGAGUGCCCCUCAUGAGGCUCUGGAAGAGAGAGGCCUUUGUCAGCUAAUUGACUUCACUUGGGUGGGAUUUCUGUCUUCUAGCAAGGGUGCCAAGUACAUCCCUGGACCAGUAAAGGAGGGGCAUCUGUUCCCCGGGGAGGGGGUACGGGGGGAUGGGUUGGUGUGCACACUGGCAGGACCCUGGGUUUGGGGGCACAGGCCUUCCCCGUAUGAGGGAAACAGGGAAGGAGGCAGCAGUGAUCAGCUGUGUGUUGAGGGUCCCACACCUGGCUUGGGAAGUGCUCUGAGGACAGGAGGGGACUACCUGACUAAUGAUGGGGGUUGGGGGGAGCUGGUGUUUUGGUUGCUUCCGCAUUGGCAUCUGAUACAAGAAGUGGAAGAAGCACCAGAAGCCAGGCCUGUCACCGCGAAUACUGGGGCUUCUGGGGAAGCGAUGGUUUUAGGAUGUAAACCACGGAUGAAACAGGAUAUUCAGUAAGUUGCACAUUUUCAAGGGUGAGCGUGAUGUCACAGGAGGAAAGUGGUACCUGACUGGCAGAGCCGGGAGGUGAGGUGGAGUGGCUGGGGACUGGGCUCCCCUAUGUGUGCGUGCACGGGGCGCCGGAGGCUCCGUGCAAGGCCCUGACGUUGAGCUCUCAGUACGUCUUGGCCCACAGUCCUGUUAGUGUGGAAGCUCCUUAUUUCUGAAACUCUCGCUGUUUGUAGGUGGUUUUCCCUGUGGCUCUCCGUCUGUGGGCAGGGCGGCCCCAGGGGCGGGGGGCCAGGCACUGGGAGCGCGCGGAGGCCAGGGACGCGUUGGGACAGAAACCUCAUUACACUAACCCUCAACUAGUUAGUGAGGCUAGACUGGGCUGGUUACCAGUUCCCUGUGGGGAUUAUCUGCUGGUAAUACAGGGAAUCCCUGUUGGCCUGACCCUCCGCAGACCACCAGAAACGUCCGCUUUCUCGCUAGUGAGGGCCACAGAAGAGCGCUGUUGGGAGAGCGUGCACGUGGCUGGCGAAGUGUGGCCGUGGGUGCUGCUGUGCCUCAGGGUUGAGCAGCCAUCGCCAUGGCAGAUUUUAGCACAUUUUCAAAUCUCAUUUAAAUUUAAUUAUUAACAUAGUGGGUCAUUAGUCUCAGAGGCGGAAUUCAGUGGCUCCUCGGCUGCCGCACACCCAGGGCUCCUUCUAUCACGUGCCCCUCCUCAUGCUGUCACCCCGCGCCCCUUCCAAAAACCUGCUUCUGUGCCUGGGUGCCCCCUGCGUUUCCUGCACGCGGGACCCUGGACUGGGCUCCCCCAGCGUGGUUGAGGCUCACCCUUGUGCCCGCGAGGGCCAGGCUGUCUUAUUUUUAAUGUGAUUUAUUUUAACCUUUUUUUCUUCCUUUGCCUUGGAGUUAUUUUGAAUACUGAGCAGCCUUAACCGUGCCCUGUGGGCUCGAGCGGGGGGUGGAGCCGGGUGCAGGCUCCAGCUGACCGGGCUCCCCUUGCUGAGGGAGUGGGGUCUGCAGCUGAACCCUCAGCCCGCCUGCACGGUCUCGCUGAAACGAGACCACAGUUCCUUCGCGUCUGAAGGGCCCUUCGGGGCCUGCACUCCCAGGAUUGCUGGGCCCCAUUGGGGGUCCCAAGGGGAGGGCUGCCGUGCCUUUGGGAGGUGUUCAAACCUUGCAGUAGAUCAUCGCUUUGUGAACUACAAAAUCACUUAAAAUCACUUGUCUUAAACAGUCACUAUGUAAAUAAUAGUGGCAUUUUUAAUAUGAGAAGAGAUCAGUUGCUCCUAAACUCCAGUUGGAAACCCAAGUAGAACGAACACUUUCCGGGAUCCUGGCUUUGCGCACAAUCGGGAGACACUGGGUGUGAGCCUGUAUCCAGCAUGUUUUUCUAAUUUUUCUCCAUCUUGUGUACUCACCUUAGGGGUUUGGUUUUUUUUUUUUUUUUUUUUUUUAAGAUUUUAUUUAUUUAUUUGACAGACAGAGAUCACAAGCAGGCAGCGAGGCAGGCAGAGAGAGAGGAGGAAGCAGGCUCCCUGCAGAGCAGAGAGCCCGAUGUGGGGCUGGAUCCCAGGACCCUGAGAUCACGACCCGAGCCAAAGGCAGCGGCUUAGCCCACUGAGCCCCCCGGACGCCCGUGGGUUAGGUUUUUUGGCCACAUUCUCACGUCAUCCUCUGGCUGCGCGGUCUUUGAGGCUUCGGGCUGCCGUGUGUGCGCAGGGCCCGAGUGACACGAGGCCUCGAAGCAGAGCCAUCUGGAUGACCCAGCACCGUCCUGUAAACGUCUCUUCUUGUGAUUUCCUUAACGCUGUUUCUCUAGCUUACCCGACUCCUGGAACACUGUGUGGUGUAGACAGACUCUCUCGGUGUGGGGUUGGUGUAACCGGUGCGGUUGGGCUGUCUGGUCUAGGUUUUGGAGAGUCAGUCACACUUGGAUCUUCGCCUGCAGGGGGCGCCCCUCCCCCCCAGUGUUGUUCAAGGGUCCCCUGUUUGUGUACCCCGGUCUUCAGGGUGCGAUUUUUCUUGUGUUGGGGUAAAAGCUGAAAAUAAAAGUGAAUUCUGAGAUUGCUGGAUCCCCACAGCCUCCUGCCCUCUGUCCUCAGUCCGAGGCCAGUGGAUACAAGCUCAGGGUUCUGUCCUCCCCGAGGUCCUGUUGUUCUGCAGUACGGCCACUGGUCUUUUCCUUUUGUUCAGGUCUGCCUGGGCCCCUGUUUCAAGCUCAGUGGGCCGUCUCCCACUGUGCUUGGCGGGGGUGGAAGGACCUGCCAGGGCCACUGGUCCCAUCAUGGGAAUGGUUCCCGCAGCUCAAGCCGGAGCUUUCCUCCCUGCCCCCAGCGGGCUCACGGAGCUGGAGGUGCUUGGCCCCACCCCUUGCCUCGUGGUAGUGGACCUUAUCUCACUGCACGCUGGUUGGCAGCUCCGUUUUUAAGUAGUUUUUGAAAACAGUGUUUGUUUAACAAAUGAGUGUGUUCUAAGCUAAACACUGAUCUAGAGAAACUCUGAUCUAGUUUUGCCGAUCUUUAAGCUUUCAGGUUUUAGGAAAGCACUUGUGCUUAAAAUAUAAAUCAUGACCUUACACUCCAGAGAAGCAGAAGAGCCACCAUCGGGUCUCCUCUAGGGAGAGGCCGGACGUUGGACACAGACGGUUGGCUGGUGGCUGCCAGGGGUCACUUGUGCAUCUGGGCGUAACAGAGCCACGCUGACCGCACCCACAGCUUCCAGAGCUCACCCAGGGCCGGGAACACACGCGGUGGUGUUACCAGCCCACGGUAGGUGAGAUGCUGUCGCCAGGUGUGUUGAGUGGGUUACGUCAAGUGGAUCACACCUGCGGUUUCCCAUGGCCUAAUAACCCCACAGAUGGUGGGAGGAGGACUCGAGACCGGAAGGUCUCCUUGCCGCCAGGCCUCCCCGCGGGGCAGCGGUUGGGUUGGGUGCCGGGGCUCGGGAGCUGGUGUGGAAGUUUCCUCCAGGGGCUCCCAGCGUCUUGUUAGUGUAGCCUACCUGCUUUGCAGAAACCCCUUUGAUUUCCAAAAUGAACUUACUUUUAAUAUAAGGAAGUUCUAGCUCAAAAGCUUUUUAUGUAGUGGUUCUCAGAGUGUGGUCUAGGAGUCCAGCUCUCCCCACAGCCCUUUCAGAAGAUCCCAGCCUGAAAGCUGUUUGCCUUUCUCACUCUCUGGAAGUGUGCCAAAGGCUCUGUCAGAGGCUCCCACCCACCGUGUCCCAGUCCUCCCUCUGAUGGCUGAUGGGCCGCGUUUGUGUUCUUGUGAAGCCCGGCGACAGCCCCACAAUGGCCCCAGACCCGCCCACUCCCUGCAGCGCUGAGCUCGGCCUCUCCAGCUGUCUUCCGCCUCUCAGGACAGGGAGGCAGGGGGAUGGUCAGAGCUGCUGGGUCCAGCUGGUCACUGUGAGGCCUGUGGAGACCAGAUGUGCGGGGUGUGGGGAAGCCACUGGGCGCCACUUGAGCCUCACAGCUUGCUGACGUAAGAGCAGCCGUAAGAAACCUCUUGCUUCCACACUCUGGUGCUUCACCCUGAAAACGCGGGCUGAGGGGUGUCUCCUGGAUCCGUACAGGUGAGGAGUGGCCCAGUCUUCCUGCGUGUGCCCCUUUACUUGGCGUGCUUCUCCGUGAUUCACGUGUGUGGUCUCCUUUGGCCUUUCUCCCCUGAAUCUAAACUUGGAGUGGAGCGUCCUGUGGCACGUAGUAGGCCCUGGUUGGUGGAAAUCAGGUGAGCUGUCAUGACCUUUGAGAGGGGUGGGCUUGAGGGGCAGGUGGGAGUGCAUCCUCUUACCAGGCCUGGGGAGACUGCCCAGGCCCUGACCCAGGAGGACGUGUGAGGGGCGAAGAGUGGGUUGAGCAGGAGGGCUCCGGGGACACGCCAGGCUGAGCAGGAGGUGUGGGUCUGAGUCCCAGUGGUCCUUACAACAGGCACAGCUCACCCACCAGCCUUGGGGGCGGAAUGAGACUUAGGGCACCCUGAAUGGAGACGCUUUACCAGCUGUGUCCACCAUGGAACAGACUCCUGCGUUUGGGGGUGUGGGCACUACAUCAGGGUGUCGUCCUGCCCGUGCUGUGUCCUCAGCACCUUCGGGGCGGCCUGGUUCCUGCCCUGGCCCCAGAGCUCAUCUGAGCCACAUGUCCGGCCUCUGGCCUCUUCCUAGACGGCAGCGGCUCCUGUCCCAGCCUCACUCGGGGCACACUGGGCAUCGCGUUACCCCGAGAGUAAGAUUUUGGGGUCUUUAUGAUGAAAAGCCUCCGCCAGGCCCUGGGUCAUGCAGUCCUGGGUGCGUUCCAGUUGGGAGACGCUUAGUUACGCCUUCUCUCCCGUGGCCUCUGCUCCGCUCCGUUUCUGCUGCCGGUGAACCUCGCCGACCGCUCUGCCUUGGCCGUGGCUGUUUCCCCCACUGGCUGUUCUUGGAGGCCUGUGACUCUGCUCCUGCCCGUCCCUGUGAAGAGUGCUGCGGGGGGGGGCGGGGGGGUGGUUUCACAGUGACUGUUGGCCCCUCGGAUGGGCUCCUCACCCUCCCCUUGAGCCAGAUAGUUUGUUGUGCAACAUGCGUUGUUGGGACAGCGUGGAAGCCGAGCUCUGGGGGCGGGCGGGCACCCCGGGCAUUGUCUGGUUACUGUGCGCUGGUCCUGCCUUUGGUUUGCCUCUCUUUUCUUUUUUAAUGUUCUUUUAUGGUAAGACAGCUCUUUUUCUUUAGCUCACUUAGGUAAUGAGAAUUUCAGUGGGGAAGGAGGGUCCUUUUAUUUUUCCCUUGUGCUGUGUUGCAGUCACGCGGCGUCUGGGGCUUCACAGACCAUUCCCAGCCCGCAGGGUGCUGCCUUCUGGUGGCCGACGGCGUCCAGCGCGGCGGCCCAGCGCGUCCGUCACCUGCUGCUGGGCUCGGCCUUCUUCCCCGCGGGAGGCUGGGGACGUGGUCCAGUCUUGAACCAUUUAUGUAGAAAAGACAUGGAGUUGGAGACUAAUUCGUAAUUUCAAAGCUUUUUCUU